rnacentral:rRNA from 1 species
AACGCGAAGAACCUUACCAGGUCUUGACAUCCCGAUGCCCGCUCUAGAGAUAGAGUUUUACUUCGGUACAUCGGUGACAGGUGGUGCAUGGUUGUCGUCAGCUCGUGUCGUGAGAUGUUGGGUUAAGUCCCGCAACGAGCGCAACCCCUAUUGUUAGUUGCCAUCAUUCAGUUGGGCACUCUAGCGAGACUGCCGGUAAUAAACCGGAGGAAGGUGGGGAUGACGUCAAAUCAUCAUGCCCCUUAUGACCUGGGCUACACACGUGCUACAAUGGCUGGUACAACGAGUCGCAAGUCGGUGACGACAAGCUAAUCUCUUAAAGCCAGUCUCAGUUCGGAUUGUAGGCUGCAACUCGCCUACAUGAAGUCGGAAUCGCUAGUAAUCGC